rnacentral:rRNA from 1 species
UACGGAGGGGACUAGCGUUGUUCGGAAUUACUGGGCGUAAAGCGCACGUAGGCGGAUUUGUAAGUUAGGGGUGAAACCCCGGGGCUCAACCUCGGAACUGCCUUUGAUACUGCAAAUCUCGAGUCCGGAAGAGGUGAGUGGAAUUCCUAGUGUAGAGGUGAAAUUCGUAGAUAUUAGGAAGAACACCAGUGGCGAAGGCGGCUCACUGGUCCGGUACUGACGCUGAGGUGCGAAAGCGUGGGGAGCAAACAGG